rnacentral:rRNA from 1 species
UACAGAGGUCUCAAGCGUUGUUCGGAUUCAUUGGGCGUAAGGGUGCGUAGGCGGCGCGGUGAAGUCGGGAUGUGAAAUCUCGGAGCUUAACUCCGAAACUGCAUUCGAUACUGCCGUGCUUGAGGACUGGAGAGGAGGAGUGGAAUUCCUGGUGUAGCGGUGAAAUGCGCAGAUAUCAGGAAGAACACCCGUGGCGAAGGCGGCUCUCUGGAACGCAACUGACGCUGAGACGCGAAAGCGUGGGGAGCAAACAGG